UACGGAGGAGGCAAGCGUUGUUCGGAAUCAUUGGGCGUAAAGGGCCCGUAGGCGGCCAUGCAAGUCAGGGGUGAAAUCCCUCGGCUCAACCGAGGAAUUGCCUCUGAAACUGCCUGGCUCGAGCCCGGGCGAGGGUAGUGGAAUUCCCAGUGUAGCGGUGAUAUGCGUAGAUAUUGGGAGGAACACCAGUGGCGACGGCGGCUACCUGGACCGGUUCUGACGCUGAGGCGCGAAAGCGUGGGGAGCAAACAGG
rnacentral:rRNA from 1 species